CCGGAAACCAGUGACAUGGGUGGGGGGUUAGCAUUCACAAUCACGUCCAAUUCCAAACACACACAACAAACAAACAAGCAGCAAUUCCCUUAUCGUCAUGUCAUGCUCAAUUGCCCAUGCCCCUCAGGGCCCCCCGCCAUUGGUGGACAAUGGACAGCCUAGCACGCGGUGCGCCACCGGCUUCCCCUCCCAAGUCAAUUCCCUUCUUUUAUCAACAUAUUGUCGGGAUCCAACGUUCCAACGCCACCAUUGACCAUCAAAUUUAUAAAAUACUGUUAUCUUCACAUGAAAUUAAGAUACUCAAACCAACUUAUUCUUUAUAAUUGCUAACAUCAAUGGCUAAUAGACAAAAACAAGCUUCUAAUCACCUACAAAUAUUUCAUCUUGCACUAAAUAAAUGCUGCAACUGAAGCAAAUUAAGCAUAGUGAGGCUGCUUAAUUUAUUAAUUAUAUUUGCAAUUUUCUUUUACUAAUAAUAUUCUACGGGUGUCUCAGGACAACUUUCAUCUGAUACAAUUUCUUUGGUAAAUGGAGGAGGAACAUAAGGUGGGCGUGUACAUCUCAAUAACGCCCAAUUCACACCUUGAAAGAAAGGAUGGUGCUUAAUGGCAGAUGCCCCCAUGGUGGAACCCAGUCUUCUGCCAGGAUCCUUAACUAAUAAUUGUGAAAUCAGGUCCUUUGCUGUUGCAGGUAUGGCAGGUUCUUUGGGGAACUCCAGAGCUCUAGCUACAAUAUUAGCUAAGGUUAACUCAUGGUCCACACCUCUGAAGGGUGUGACCCCAUAAAAUAGUUCAAACAUAAAUAUCCCUAGUGUCCACCAAUCCACAGGACUACCAUGGCCUUCACCGGAGACAAUCUCCGGUGCCAAGUACUCAUGGGUCCCGACGAAUGACAUGGAUCUGACAUCAAUGGGUUCAGCCACAAACUCAGGUCCACCUUUGUGGCCUGUCUUCUUUUUGCGUUUACGUCUUGGAUGGAAGCAAGAUACAGCUGGAACUAUACAGUUAGGGAUAAUGCAGGAAGAUGAAGUGAAAGGAGGCUGAUCAAUGGGGUAAUCAUUUUUUAGUACUGCAGUAGGUGGGUUUUGGUUACUAAUGAUCUGAGGGGUUGAUGUAGAUUCAUCACAUUUUAACGAGAGGUCAAAAUCAGUAAGCAUUAUAUGACCGUCCGAUCGAACGAGCACAUUUUCCGGCUUAAGAUCACGGUAAACAAUACCCACCAUGUGAAGAUACUCCAAAGCUACCACUACUUCUGAUGCAUAAA
rnacentral:misc_RNA from 1 species